rnacentral:tRNA from 1 species
GCCGGGGUCACCUAGCCUGGUAGGGUGCAGGCCUGGAGAGCCUGUGGGGCUUACGCCCCUCGUGGGUUCAAAUCCCACCCCCGGCG